GCCCCGGUAGCAUAGUAGCUAUUGCGUCUGACUUGUAAUCAGAAGGUCGCGAGUGCGAUUCUCGCUCGGGGCU
rnacentral:tRNA from 1 species